rnacentral:tRNA from 1 species
GAGGGUAUAGCUCAGUGGUAGAGCGCAUGCUCAGCAUGCACAAAUUCCUGGGUUCAAUCCCCAGUACCUCCA